UGGGGAAUAUUGGACAAUGGGCGAAAGCCUGAUCCAGCCAUGCCGCGUGUGUGAAGAAGGUCUUCGGAUUGUAAAGCACUUUAAGUUGGGAGGAAGGGCAUUAACCUAAUACGUUAGUGUUUUGACGUUACCGACAGAAUAAGCACCGGCUAACUCUGUGCCAGCAGCCGCGGUAAUACAGAGGGGGCAAGCGUUAAUCGGAAUUACUGGGCGUAAAGCGCGCGUAGGUGGUUUGUUAAGUUGGAUGUGAAAGCCCCGGGCUCAUCCUGGGAACUGCAUCCAAAACUGGCAAGCUAGAGUACGGUAGAGGGUGGUGGAAUUUCCUGUGUAGCGGUGAAAUGCGUAGAUAUAGGAAGGAACACCAGUGGCGAAGGCGACCACCUGGACUGAUACUGACACUGAGGUGCGAAAGCGUGGGGAGCAAACA
rnacentral:rRNA from 1 species